GAUCCUGACUCAGGAUAAACGCUGGCGGCGCACAUAAGACAUGCAAGUCGAACGGACUUAACCGUUAGUUUACUAAUGGAGCGGUUAGUGGCGGACUGGUGAGUAACACGUAAGCAACCUGCCUAUCAGAGGGGAACAACAGUUAGAAAUGACUGCUAAUACCGCAUAUGCCUUAGCAACACAUGUUGCAAAAGGGAAGGAGCAAUCCACUGAUAGAUGGGCUUGGCGU
rnacentral:rRNA from 1 species